UUUCUAAUACUCAAAAAUGAAAUGUUGAUUACAGGGGCCCAGUCAUCAGAAAUUAAAACUAGGGAAAAAUCAGUAAAAGCAAUGUAUACCUUGAUGCAAAUAUUCACAAAAAGCAGCAUGUUAUAAGGAUGACAUUAGUAAUGCCCUACUGACACACAGUGGGGCUACACUGUGACUGUCCACCCUUCCCGUUUCUUACACCCGUAACAAGCAGUGACAAGCACUAACUGAAUCAUGAAUGGUAUCUGUGAACAGAGUCAGUUAAAUGUCAGAAAUUUGGAGAUUCCUAACAGCUGGGCUACCCCUGAGUGCCUACUAUAUGCCACUGACUGCCUUAGGGGACUGGACACAAAACCUGGAGCGCACACAUUGCAGCCAGGGAUGGCAAAAGCAGCUGCUUCUAGUGGCCUGCAGCACUGGGAGAUCCGGGCGCAGGCCGCAAUUUCCCCCUCUGCCCAUCUUCACUUUCUAAGAACAAUAGAUGGUGGAGGGUGAAGAUAGAUAUCAUUUAGGGAAAAAGAGGAAAGAAUGAUGUCAUCAAAACAGGAAAAAACUCCUAUUGAGGGUCAAAAGAAUUAAAGAGGCUGCUCAUGACAGUUUGACAAGUGCCACACACACACACACACACACACAGUAAUAGGGGUCACUCUUCCAACCACAUGGUCAAGAUGAAUCCCAAUGAAUACCAAAACCUGAAGAAGGGCUGUACAGUAUCUUUUCAAAUGAAAAAGGUUAAAUUUAAACAAAUCGUUCUGAGAAUAAAAAUGGCCGCAGACUUGCGGACGUUUGCCCCUCCUAUUGCACAGACCACAAGGCCUUUUGUGAUCUUUUGCUGUGCAGAGCAAGGAAGCCGCCAGGCUAGGGGACUCGCAUGUGCGAGUCACACACAAGUCAGCCUGCCUACAGGCCAGACCCUGCCGUGUGCAACCGUGACGUGCUGGUUCCAACCCAAUUCUACCCGUUCCAGCUCCUACCUCUGGCAGCAAGA
rnacentral:lncRNA from 1 species